rnacentral:rRNA from 1 species
UACAGAGGGGGCAAGCGUUGUUCGGAAUUACUGGGCGUAAAGGGCGCGUAGGCGGCCUUCUAAGUCGAACGUGAAAUCCCCGGGCUCAACCCGGGAACUGCGUCCGAGACUGGGAGGCUAGAAUCCGGGAGAGGGAUGUGGAAUUCCAGGUGUAGCGGUGAAAUGCGUAGAUAUCUGGAGGAACAUCGGUGGCGAAGGCGGCAUCCUGGACCAACACUGACGCUGAGGAGCGAAAGCCAGGGGAGCAAACGGG